ACUUACCAAAAUUUUGGUUUUGACAUUAAAUUUAUUUGUUUUUGGGAAAAUUGUUUUUUUUUGCUAAGCGCUUUCUUCCUUCCAACAAAAAAAAAUCAUUCAUCGAGGCUUGUCUACAAAAAAUCAUUCAUCAUUCAUCAUUCAUCAUUCAGUUCGUUUCACUCAAUCAAUUGAUCUCAAAUCCAGACUCGGCACAACUCCGGCGAGUUUCCCCACCUCUUCCGUUCUCAAUCCAGUGACGCUUCUAUCCGACAAUCCUAACCCUAUCUAUUCUCUCUGUUUCUGCGAAACCCUAGAUGUUGGAGGGGAAGAAGACCUGCUACUCUUCAAUGGCGGAAGAAGAGAACACUAAUGCUAUCCGGGUCUCAGAAGACGAGAAGUAUGGGUUUAAAUAGAUAAAGCUAAUCGGGGCAAGUGACGAACCUGUAGACGGUCUAUAUUGAAUAUUGUAACAAUGGUAAUGUUGUGGAGGUGACUGGCAGCUUCAAUGGCUGGAAACACUGAGUGGGACUGGAACUUGAAACAUCCAAGUCAGCCGGGUCGAGGCAGAGAAGGGUGUGCCUAGAGAUGAUCAGCUGGUGCUGAAACGACACACCAGUGCUUGUAGUGCUUCUUGGAUUAUUACUCACGUUCUGUUUGGUGGUUUGCCUUUUCCUUGUGUGAGAAAGUGGGGUUAUGUGGUGCUUGAACAAUCCAUAUUUGUCCAGGGUAUGCAUUGAAGCGAGACUUGAGCUUCUGCAACGAGAGGCGUUAGCAGUUAGAUAUUUUGUGAAAACAUUGAUGUCAUAUAAGGCUUGUUUUGGUUAAUGUAAUAGUACUUUUUAUGUAUUUUUAGAUAAUUUAUGCAAUAAAAAGGUUAAAUGUAUUUUUUGGAUAAUUUAUGUUUAAAAAUUAAGUUAUCAUUUCUAUUUUAUAA